rnacentral:rRNA from 1 species
GAUGAACGCUGGCGGCGUGCCUAAUACAUGCAAGUCGAGCGAACAGACGAGGAGCUUGCUCCUCUGACGUUAGCGGCGGACGGGUGAGUAACACGUGGAUAACCUACCUAUAAGACUGGGAUAACUUCGGGAAACCGGAGCUAAUACCGGAUAAUAUAUUGAACCGCAUGGUUCAAUAGUGAAAGACGGUUUUGCUGUCACUUAUAGAUGGAUCCGCGCCGCAUUAGCUAGUUGGUAAGGUAACGGCUUACCAAGGCAACGAUGCAUAGCCGACCUGAGAGGGUGAUCGGCCACACGGGAACUGAGACACGGUCCAGACUCCUACGGGAGGCAGCAGUAGGGCAUCUUCCGCAAUGGGCGAAAGCCUGACGGAGCAAAGCCGCGUGAGUGAUGAAGGUCUUCGGCUCGUAAAACUCUGUUAUUAGGGAAGAACAAAUGUGUAAGUAACUAUGCACGUCUUGACGGUACCUAAUCAGAAAGCCACGGCUAACUACGUG